rnacentral:rRNA from 1 species
GCAAGUCGAACGUGAAAGUUUCCUUCGGGAAGCAAGUAAAGUGGCGCACGGGUGAGUAACACGUGGAUAAUCUACCCGACAAUCAGGGAUAACAUUUCGAAAGAGAUGCUAAUACCGGAUAAGCCCACAAUGUCUUAGGAUGAUGUGGGAAAAGGUGGGGACCUUCGGGCCUGCCGUUGCUGGAUGAGUCCGCGGCCCAUUAGCUAGUUGGUAGGGUAAUGGCCUACCAAGGCUACGAUGGGUAGCUGGUCUGAGAGGAUGAUC